UACAGAGGUCUCAAGCGUUGUUCGGAUUCAUUGGGCGUAAAGGGUGCGUAGGUGGCUCCGUAAGUCAGAUGUGAAAUUUCGGAGCUUAACUCCGAAACUGCAUUUGAUACUGCGGUGCUUGAGGACUGGAGAGGAGACUGGAAUUCACGGUGUAGCAGUGAAAUGCGUAGAUAUCGUGAGGAAGACCAGUGGCGAAGGCGGGUCUCUGGACAGUUACUGACACUGAGGCACGAAGGCCAGGGGAGCAAACGGG
rnacentral:rRNA from 1 species